AUUCAGCUGACGAGUCCGAAAUAGGCCGAAACGCGCGUUCUGGAU
rfam:Schistosoma mansoni strain Puerto Rico chromosome 4, complete genome